rnacentral:rRNA from 2 species
GGGAUUGCCCUAGUAACGGCGAGUGAAGCGGCAACAGCUCAAAUUUGAAAUCUGGCUCUUUUAGAGUCCGAGUUGUAAUUUGCAGAGGGCGCUUUGGCGUUGGCAGCGGUCCAAGUUCUUUGGAACAGGACGUCACAGAGGGUGAGAAUCCCGUACGUGGUCGCUAGCCUUCGCCGUGUAAAGCCCCUUCGACGAGUCGAGUUGUUUGGGAAUGCAGCUCUAAAUGGGAGGUAAAUUUCUUCUAAAGCUAAAUACUGGCCAGAGACCGAUAGCGCACAAGUAGAGUGAUCGAAAGAUGAAAAGCACUUUGGAAAGAGAGUCAAAUAGCACGUGAAAUUGUUGAAAGGGAAGCGCUUGCAGCCAGACUUGCCUGUAGUUGCUUAUCCGGACUUUUGUCCGGUGCACUCUUCUGCGGGCAGGCCAGCAUCAGUCUAGGCGGUUGGAUAAAGGUCUCUGUCAUGUACCUCUCUUCGGGGAGGCCUUAUAGGGGAGACGACAUGCAACCAGCCUGGACUGAGGUCCGCGCAUCUGCUAGGAUGCUGGCGUAAUGGCUGUAAGCGGCCCGUCUUGAAACACGGACCAAGGAGUCUAACAUCUAUGCGAGUGUUUGGGUGUCAAGCCCAGACGCGUAAUGAAAGUGAACGGAGGUGGGAACCCUUUGGGUGCACCAUCGACCGAUCCUGAUGUCUUCGGAUGGAUUUGAGUAAGAGCAUGGCUGUUGGGACCCGAAAGAUGGUGAACUAUGCUUGAAUAGGGUGAAGCCAGAGGAAACUCUGGUGGAGGCUCGCAGCGGUUCUGACGUGCAAAUCGAUCGUCAAAUUUGGGCAUAGGGGCG